rnacentral:rRNA from 1 species
CACGUAGGGUGCGAGCGUUGUCCGGAAUUAUUGGGCGUAAAGAGCUCGUAGGCGGUGUGUCGCGUCGGCCGUGAAAACCUGCAGCUUAACUGUGGGCGUGCGGGCGAUACGGGCAGGCUAGAGUUCGGUAGGGGAGACUGGAAUUCCUGGUGUAGCGGUGAAAUGCGCAGAUAUCAGGAGGAACACCGGUGGCGAAGGCAGGUCUCUGGGCAUUAACUGACGCUGAGGAGCGAAAGCAUGGGGAGCGAACAGG